UGACAAGUGGCAUUCAGCCACCUGAGAUUGAGCAAUAACAUGUCUGUGAAGCCCUUAGAUGUCCCAGGCUGCAUGCACACUACACUGACUGGCUCAGCCUGUGCCUGCUCUAUGCCAGCAGGAGAGAGUUACCCAUUGAACCCCAUUCAUGUUGGGGAUCAGGGAUUGCAAUUAUUCCCCAUGAAUGAGGAAUUUGAAGUUAGUGCAGGUCAUAAGCUUGCAUUAAUUAAGUCCUUGCCCUUUGUUCACACCGCCUGACACUACUACCAAUUGGGUGGUUUAGUGAGGCCCUCAGAUUGGCCCUGCAGGGGUCUGUCUGCCCAUGGCCCUGGAUGAGUGCUGAGAAGAAGUUGAACUUGGCUAUCUAGAGGAAGUGAAAGUCCCAGCAAGUUUUCUGCAGGUGAACCUGCAGAAGGAUCAUUA
rnacentral:ncRNA from 1 species